rnacentral:piRNA from 1 species
UCCCAAAUGAGAUGAAGCCUGCCUCUGGUC